ensembl:lncRNA
CAUUAGAGAAAGCUAAAAGCAAACAAAAACAACGCAAGGCAUCAAGCAAGAAAGAAAAAAAGGUUAUUUAAUUUGCAUGGGAGUUUUCUACCUCUUCUGAACAGGUCCACCCAUCUCUAUAUUUUUCCUCUUUAAAUGUUAAAGCAUCUGAACAUUUGUUCUGUCAGUUGAGAAAAAAAUGGACUGACUUAAACCCAUCUUAGAUCCCCGGGGGAUAUCACAGGAAAAUAGGACAGCAGUGCUCAGAGGAAAAACUCCAUCUACUGCAUCUUUUACAAUUAAAACUUACCAACAGUGACGCAGGGGAAAGAGGCUUCUUCCAUUAACAAAAGAGAAUGAUGAUGACCUUCAGGAGCUUUGGCUGAGUAAGAACUAAGAAAUCUGGGACGAAGGAGCUGCUCCAAACUAUAAGCUCCUCCCUGAAAAACAUGGUGAAUUGUGACAAGAUAUUAAGAAACUUUUUCUGUAACAUUUUACCCUUCCAAAAACAUAUGAAAGAAAGCACAGUGAGGGCAAGUCCCUGGAUUUAAGAGAAAGGACACAACUUUGCAGUUUCUGGGAACAAUCUCAUGUAUGUUGGACUAUUAAUUUCAUAAAAUCAUAAAACCAUAGAAUCACCAAGAUUGGAAAAGACCUCUGAGAUCAGUCCAACCAUCCACUCGUCACCAGUAUUUCCCACCAAACCACAUCCCUCAGUACAACACCUAAAUGUUUCUUGAACACCUCCAGGGAUGGUGACUCCACCACCUGUUAUGGUUGUCAGAAACUUGUGGAAUCCAUCAGCCUGCUGCAGAGGUCUGGGCUAUUGAGAGCAGUCUGACCUCCACAGAUGGGAUUUGUUGGUCUCUCGGCACCAUCUGAGCUGCAAGAUAACUUUGAUGACAUUUCUGGAGGAUGAAGAGCAGCAAUGAUAACUGAGACUAUACGUGUGAGUGCCAUUCAAAAGGGCUUAGGAAAUAUCAGUCACACCCUGAGGGUACAUCUAAUCUGGACUGCACUCCCUGCUCCUAGUCAAUACACAUUUCAUCAUGUCAUCCAAGCUGAUUGCCAAGAAUCCUUCCUACUGAAUCAUAUAUUUCUGAGCUGCCAUCACUCCAAACUGCAUGGCUGCCAUAUUCACAUCUACUGGUGUCAGCACUGCAAAAGGAGAUGAGAAAGAUCCUUAUCCCCAUUUGACAAGCCUCUCCUGGACCAGAACAGAAGCACAUGGAUCCUAUCCCUCCUUCUUCCCUCCUUUAGCAAAGUCGGACAUAACUGGAGCAGAAGCUUCAACAGACAUAGCAGCAGACUCCUGUUCAAGUGCUCUGAAGAAUGGGUAAGGAAAGUGAGAGUUCAUGUGGUACAAUAAAACAUAUCUGAGUGGCCACAGAGUGCAUGUUGUGAUUUGAGAGGUUUGUGGUUUUAAAUAAAGUAUAAAUGAGCAAUAAGAUUAGAAACUUCAUUUGUUAAAGUUUGCGUUUCCC